rnacentral:rRNA from 1 species
AACAAACGCUGGCGGCGUGCCUAACACAUGCAAGUCGUACGAGAAAGGGUCCUUCGGGGCCUGAGUAAAGUGGCGCACGGGCGAGUAACGCGUGGAUAAUCUGCCCUUCAGUUGGGAAUAACUCAUCGAAAGGUGGGCUAAUACCGAAUAAUGCUGUGAGACCUCGGUUGAUCAGCCAAAGAGAGCCUCUGCUUGCAAGCCCUCGCUGAAGGACGAGUCCGCGUACCAUUAGCUAGUUGGUAGGGUAAUGGCCUACCAAGGCGACGAUGGUUAGCUGGUCUGAGAGGAUGAUCAGCCACACUGGAACUGAGACACGGUCCAGACUCCUACGGGAGGCAGCAGUGAGGAAUCUUGCGCAAUGGGGGCAACCCUGACGCAGCAACGCCGCGUGAGUGAGGAAGGUCUUCGGAUCGUAAAGCUCUGUCGGAUGGAAAGAACCGCAUAGGGGUAAACAGCCCCUGUGUCUGACGGUACCAUCAAAGGAAGCACCGGCUAACUCCGUGCCAGCCGCCGCAGUAACAC